CGUUGCCAAAAGAUACACGACUGCUCUAUGCUUGGCACUGGUAGAAUUCACUGAUAUGAAUGAAAGCUCAGUGGUUCUCUAGGGCCAAAUAUGGCGUGUCUAUACCUGAGUAUUUGGCAGG
rnacentral:pre_miRNA from 9 species